UUACGGUCAAAUCACGCUGAAAACACCGGUUCUCGUUCGAUCACCGAAGUUAAGCAUCGUAGAGCCAGGUCAGUACUUAGAUGGGGGACGCUUGGGAACACCUGGUACUGUAAG
rnacentral:rRNA from 1 species